GAUGAACGCUGGCGGCGUGCCUAAUACAUGCAAGUCGAGCGAACGGACGAGAAGCUUGCUUCUCUGAUGUUAGCGGCGGACGGGUGAGUAACACGUGGAUAACCUACCUAUAAGACUGGGAUAACUUCGGGAAACCGGAGCUAAUACCGGAUAAUAUUUUGAACCGCAUGGUUCAAAAGUGAAAGACGGUCUUGCUGUCACUUAUAGAUGGAUCCGCGCUGCAUUAGCUAGUUGGUAAGGUAACGGCUUACCAAGGCAACGAUGCAUAGCCGACCUGAGAGGGUGAUCGGCCACACUGGAACUGAGACCCGGUCCAGACUCCUACGGGAGGCAGCAGUAGGGAAUCUUCCGCAAUGGGCGGAAGCCUGACGGAGCAACGCCGCGUGAGUGAUGAAGGUCUUCGGAUCGUAAAACUCUGUUAUUAGGGAAGAACAUAUGUGUAAGUAACUGUGCACAUCUUGACGGUACCUAAUCAGAAAGCCACGGCUAACUACGUG
rnacentral:rRNA from 1 species